ensembl:lncRNA
GCUACACUUGGAGCCUACACCAUGCUCUUAUCAGCCUAGGCAAGGCACUGUCCGAAUCCCUGCUUUCCCCAGAGACUUCCGCCCCAGCCAGCAUCUGUUUCCUCUGCUAUAUUUAAACAACCAGGUUAGUGAACUUGGGACAGCAUUUCUGCCCAGGAGGAACAAAGCCUUCCACAGAACACACAGGAUAUAUUGUGAUUCUGAGGCCUUGUGGGUUGCUGUGUGCUCCUUCUCAGCUACUGGUCAUUGCAGAAUAAUUUUCAUCUUGAAAUCACAAAAUGAAAAAUCUUGCAAACAAAUCAGCAGAAGGAUGGUGACAAGGGGAUGAAAGAAGUCUAUCUUCAAUUCAAGAAUCUGAAAGAAGAGGACCUCCAAGUAUGUUAGAG